UACGUAGGGUGCGAGCGUUGUCCGGAAUUAUUGGGCGUAAAGAGCUCGUAGGCGGUCUGUCGCGUCGGAUGUGAAAACUCGGGGCUCAACCCCGAGCCUGCAUUCGAUACGGGCAGACUAGAGUUCGGUAGGGGAGACUGGAAUUCCUGGUGUAGCGGUGAAAUGCGCAGAUAUCGGGAGGAACACCCGUAGCGAAGGCGGCACUCUGGGCCGUGACUGACGCUGAGGAGCGAAAGCGUGGGGAGCAAACAGG
rnacentral:rRNA from 1 species